rnacentral:lncRNA from 1 species
GUACUUCUUGCUGUGCGUGGUGAUGUGGCACUGCAGCUCCACCUCGGUGCCGAAGGACUCGCCGCAGAAGAUGCACUUGUGGGCCCUGGCCGGGUUGCCCAGGUGGCUGUGCUUGACGUGCACCUGCAGGUCGGCCUCCUUGCGGAAGUCCCAGUUGCAGGCCGUGCAGCGGAACAUCUUCUUCUCAUUGCUGUGCUUCACCGCCAGAUGCACGUCGUCCACCGAGGAGAACUGCUUGUCGCAGCUCUCGCACACGUAGUGGGUGGACGUGGUCAUGUAGUGCACGGUCAGGUGCUGCAGCAGGGACUCCUGCGAGUCGAAGUCCUCCUUGCACUGGGGGCACGCCUGCUUCCGCAGCAGCAGCUCCAGGUGCAGCUUCAGGUGGGUCUGGAAGCUCUCAAAGUUGGAGAACUUGAGGUCGCACUGGUUGCACGGGUACUCGCCGUUGGAGAUGGAGUUGGCGCUCGCCGAGAGCCGCUGCCGCUUCGGGGAAGACACCUCCACGUCCGACGAGACCGGGCUCUGUUCCGCCUUGGACUUCUUACUGUGGGCCAGCGGGAUGUUCUUGUGGUUCUCCUUGAUGUGCUUGGUGAGCUUCAGGAUGGAGCCGAAGAUGGGCGAGUUGGUGCAGUAGGGGCAGGAGUAGACCUCCAUGAAGGACUGCGUGGGCUGCACGACCGGGGACUCCAGUUUGGCACUGCCCACGCUGCAGUGGGCCUGCUGGAUGUGCUCCGUGAGGGAGGACUCGGUCAGGAAGCCCAUGGAGCAUUGGUUGCAAAAGAAGGCGUUGUUGCCGUCGGGCGGGUUGGCGUUGGGGCCGCAGUGGGAGACCCGGAUGUGCUCCUGCAAGCUGUUGAUGUCAGCAAACAUCUCGGGGCAGUAGUUGCAGUGGAAGGCGGAGAUGCUGCCGAACUGCAUUACGGGGUACGCAUGGUUCUUGUGCAGCUUGCGGACGUGCUCGUUGAGGUUGUAGAGGGUGGGCAUGGAGUCCAGGCAGAUCUGACACGUGUGGCUCUGCUGCGGCUUAUCCGCAUGGAUGGUCUUCAGGUGGAUCUCCAGCACGGCCAGGCUGUUGAAGUCCCGCUUGGAGCAGUAGGGGCAGCUGUACACCACCUUGGACCAGCCCUGCCCGUCAUCCCGCAUCUUCUUCUGGCCCCGCAGCGGCUUCAAGGUGGAGUCCGGGGUGGAGCCUCGCUCAACGGAGGCGCUGGAGUCUGGUGUGGCGCUGCUCAUAGAGGCCACGCUGCCCAGCACGGGGUCGGGGCUGACGCUGUGGUUGCUGGAAUCGGGCUGCCGGUGGCUGUCCAGGUGGCAGUAGACGCCCUCCACGGAGGAGAACUGCUCGGGGCACAUGGGGCACUUGUGUUUCUGGUUGGCGUGGGCUUGGUGGAUGUGGGCGAGCAGCGUGUUCUCGUCGACAAAGACCUCGGGGCAGUGGAUGCACUGCAGGUCGGCCUUCUCGGAGAGCUGGGGGUGGCGGGUGAGCACGUGCUUCUCCAGCUCCUCGGUCUGGCUGAAGGUGUCCUCGCAGUAGUCGCACAUGAAGUCGUCCUUCUUGGCCUCCUUCUCCGACUUGGCCAGGUGCUCCUUGUUCUUCUUGUGGGCCUGCAUGUGGCUCUGCAGCGAGCUGGUGGAGGAGAAGCCGCGCUUGCAGACGGUGCACUUGAAGGGCUUGCUGGAGCUGUGGGUCUUCAGGUGGAUCUUGAGGUGGUCGCUGCGGGAGAAGGCCGCCUCGCACUCGUGACAGUGGUACUUCUUGUCGCCCGUGUGCAGCUUGAUGUGCCGGUCGCGGCUCCUCUUGUGCUUGAAGAGGCGGCUGCAGUAGGUGCACUUGAACGGCAGCUUGUCGCUGUGGAUCUGUUCGUGCCUCUUCAAGUAGCUCAGGCGGAUGAAGGACUUGUCGCAGAACUGGCAAGGGUACGGCAGGCCCGUGCCCCCUUCCUCCUCACCCAGGCCCAGGUCACACCCAUCUCCGAUCAUCUGCGUGGGUGA